UAAUAGAUCUACGGGUGAAACUUUGUGGAUUUUUGGUUAUAGUUGUGUUUAAUAUGGGUCAUGAAUUUGAGCUUGAUCUAACGGUUGAAUUGAGGGAUAUUGAGGUUUAAGUGGGUCAAGGUCUCAGAAAGUAGAAUUUUAGGUCCAGUGGGGGUUUUUGAGAUUUCUUGCAAUCUAUUAGUUGGAUUGAAGUGAAGCUUACGUGAGAGGAUAUUAGACUUGUUUUUAUAUGCGUAUGAGAAUUUUGAGAUCAAUCGAAAGGUGAAA
rnacentral:lncRNA from 1 species